AUGCCGAAGAUAGCGCUGGGCCACCGCCGCGAGGCGUCCGACCCCGGCUGCCUCCGGGCCGUGCUCGGCGAGCUCGUCCUCACCUUCCUCUUCGUCUUCGUCGGCGUGGGCUCCGCCAUCGUCGGAGGACAAGCAGUCGCAGCCGGAGGCGACACGUCGGCGGCGUUGAUCGCGGUGGCGCUGGGCCAUGCGCUGGUGGUGGCGGUGUUCGCAACCGCAGGGUUCCACAUCUCCGGCGCCCACAUGAACCCAGCCGUCACGCUCAGCCUCGCCGUCGGCGGCCACAUCACCCUCAUCCGCGCCGGCUUCUUCGUGCUCGCCCAGAUGCUCGGCUCCUCCCUCGCCUGCAUCCUGCUCAGGGCCCUCACCGGCGGACUGGUCACUCCGGUGCACGCGCUGGCGGCGGGCGUGGGCCCGAUCCAGGGCGUGGUGGCGGAGGUCGUCUUCACCUUCACGCUGCUCUUCACCAUCUACGCCGCCAUCCUCGACCCCAAGAGCUCCGCGCCAGGGUUCGGCCCGCUGCUCACCGGCCUCCUCGUCGGUGCCAACACCAUCGCCGGCGGCGCGCUCACCGGCGCGUCCAUGAACCCCGCGAGGUCCUUCGGGCCGGCGCUGGCCUCCGGAAACUGGGCCAACCACUGGGUCUACUGGGUCGGCCCGCUCGCCGGCGGGCCCCUCGCCGUGGCCGUCUACGAGUUCAUCUUCACCGUCCCGGCGACGCACCAGCAACUUCCAACGGUGGAGUGA
rnacentral:rRNA from 1 species